GACGAACGCUGGCGGCGUGCUUAACACAUGCAAGUCGAGCGAGGCCCCUCCUUCGGGAGGGUGUCCUAGCGGCGAACGGGUGAGUAACACGUGGGCAACCUGCCCUCAGCUCUGGGAUAACUCCGGGAAACCGGGGCUAAUACCGGAUACGACCUCCACGGGCAUCUGCGGAGGUGGAAAGUUUUUCGGCUGAGGAUGGGCCCGCGGCCUAUCAGCUAGUUGGUGGGGUAGUGGCCCACCAAGGCGACGACGGGUAGCCGGCCUGAGAGGGCGACCGGCCACACUGGGACUGAGACACGGCCCAGACUCCUACGGGAGGCAGCAGUGGGGAAUAUUGCGCAAUGGGCGAAAGCCUGACGCAGCGACGCCGCGUGAGGGACGAAGGCCUUCGGGUUGUAAACCUCUUUCAGCGGGGACGAAGCGAAAGUGACGGUACCUGCAGAAGAAGCACCGGCCAACUACGUG
rnacentral:rRNA from 1 species